UACGUAGGGUGCAAGCGUUAUCCGGAAUCACUGGGCGUAAAGCGUGCGUAGGUGGUUUGUUAAGUGAAAUGUUAAAAUCGUGUGGCUCAACCAUAUCGAUGCAUCUCAUACUGGCAGACUAGAGGACGGCAGAGGCAAGUGGAAUUGGUAGUGUAGCAGUGAAAUGCGUAGAUAUUACCAGGAACACCAAUGGCGAAGGCAGCUUGCUGGGCCGCCCCUGACCACUGAGGUACGAAAGCGUGGGGAGCGAACAGG
rnacentral:rRNA from 1 species